rnacentral:tRNA from 1 species
ACCGGUGUGGCUCAGUGGAUAGAGCCUCGGACUGUGGACUGAAGGGUCCCGGGUUCAAAUCCCGGGCAAGGGCA